rnacentral:rRNA from 1 species
AUUGAACGCUGGCGGCAGGCCUAACACAUGCAAGUCGAGCGGAUGACGGGAGCUUGCUCCUUGAUUCAGCGGCGGACGGGUGAGUAAUGCCUAGGAAUCUGCCUGGUAGUGGGGGACAGCGUUUCGAAAGGAACGCUAAUACCGCAUACGUCCUACGGGAGAAAGCAGGGGACCUUCGGGCCUUGCGCUAUCAGAUGAGCCUAGGUCGGAUUAGCUAGUAGGUGAGGUAAUGGCUCACCUAGGCGACGAUCCGUAACUGGUCUGAGAGGAUGAUCAGUCACACUGGAACUGAGACACGGUCCAGACUCCUACGGGAGGCAGCAGUGGGGAAUAUUGGACAAUGGGCGAAAGCCUGAUCCAGCCAUGCCGCGUGUGUGAAGAAGGUCUUCGGAUUGUAAAGCACUUUAAGUUGGGAGGAAGGGUUGUACGUUAAUACCGUGCAAUUUUGACGUUACCGACAGAAUAAGCACCGGCUAACUCUGUGCCAGCAGCCGCAGUAAAAC